GGUUGUGGCUCAGCGGUAGAGCCCUUGCCUAGCCAGUGUGAAGCCAUGGGUUCGAUUCUCAGCACCA
rnacentral:tRNA from 1 species